UGUGUAGGUGGUUAUUUAAGUCCGUUGUGAAAGCCCUGGGCUCAACCUGGGAACUGCAGUGGAUACUGGAUGACUAGAAUGUGGUAGAGGGUAGCGGAAUUCCUGGUGUAGCAGUGAAAUGCGUAGAGAUCAGGAGGAACAUCCAUGGCGAAGGCAGCUACCUGGACCAACAUUGACACUGAGGCACGAAAGCGUGGGGAGCAAACA
rnacentral:rRNA from 1 species